rnacentral:rRNA from 1 species
CCUACGGGGGACAGCAGUGGGGAAUAUUGCACAAUGGGGGAAACCCUGAUGCAGCGACGCCGCGUGAGUGAAGAAGUAUCUCGGUACGUAAAGCUCUAUCAGCAGGGAAGAAAAUGACGGUACCUGACUAAGAAGCCCCGGCUAACUACGUGCCAGCAGCCGCGGUAAUACGUAGGGGGCAAGCGUUAUCCGGAUUUACUGGGUGUAAAGGGAGCGUAGACGGCAGCACAAGUCUGGAGUGAAAUCCCGGGGCUUAACCCCGGGACUGCAUUUGGAACUGUGCUGCUAGAGUGUCGGAGAGGCAGGCGGAAUUCCUAGUGUAGCGGUGAAAUGCGUAGAUAUUAGGAGGAACACCAGUGGCGAAGGCGGCCUGCUGGACGAUGACUGACGUUGAGGCUCGAAAGCGUGGGGAGCAAACAGGAUUAGAUACCCCUGUAGUC